AGCGGUACAGCUCAGUGGCAGAGCACGUGCUUAGCAUGCACGAGGUCCUGGGUUCAAUCCCCAGUGCCUCCA
rnacentral:tRNA from 1 species